rnacentral:lncRNA from 1 species
UAAAGCCAAAGGACAAGAAUACUUGGUACUAUGUUGGUGGACUGCAGUGGCACUAGCUUUUGAGGCCAUUGAAUUCACCCAGAGUGGGCACACUUGAUACUAUAAUGUGACAUUUAUUGUGUGCAACCGUUUGUGGUUUUACCCUAGUUCCAGGGUCCUAUAUUGCCAACUCACUGUGAUGUCAAUAUUACAUUGUAACAGUUUUCUCAUAUUGGUUCCUUUCUCUCACGGCUUGCAGUGCUUUUCCUUGCGAUGAUUCCCGGCAUGAAGCACCAUGGCAUUUUCAAGAAGUACUUCUCGGCGACUGUCCUCACCAUCAGGAAUCUCAUUGCCGACAAGAUGAAGAAGAACUAAUCUUGCACAACCACUCUGCGGCUGAAAGCAUUAUCAAGCACAAGUGAAAAAAAAAAAAGGAAAGGAAACUGCUUGCUGGUCUGCUGAUGUA